ensembl:lncRNA
UGUGAAAAGGACCCAGUAGAGCAAUAUUGCAUUGCUUAUGGAUUAUUGGUUACUUUCAGGAUUUAAACAAAGAUUCUAAGUAUUUAGACUGCUUUCAUUGUAUUUUAUAUUUAAAUAUCUCCCUACCUGUAUUGAGUUAAGCUACUUGAGCAAAAUGUCUGAUUUAGGGAAGCAUUUCAUUUUAUAGCAAAAGUUUUUCCAUCUACAGUUACCAUCUGCAAUGGAAUUUACAUUACGGUGCUGACAAAAACCUCCUGGUUCCUUUUGAACAAUGUGCAAUGAAUUCAUUAUGUCAACCCCAUGACUGCUGUGCUCUCCUCGGAGCUGAGUGUGUGGACUGUGCAGCUCAUCGGAUGUGCCCACAAACACACUGGUGCCCACGGGCACACUUCCAAGUUGAACAGGGCGCUGACCCCAUGGGAGGAAAGGAAGAAGGAGGAAGGAAGACAAAGUUUCCUGAUUCCUGCCCCAGACUCAGACCUUCUUUCAGCUGGUGUGAUCUGCCCUAGGGACCCUAGGAAAAGGCUCUCACCAGGGCACUUGGGCACGUCCACAAAUGCUUCAGUUCCAAAACACAAAGGAUGAAGAAAUCAGAAAAGUCCCCAAUGCCACCGGCCACCUUCAGGGAGAGCCUGGCCGUCCAGACAAGUCACUGGUCAGGUGCACAGCAGUGGGGAAGUGCUGUGUGCUGAAGACGUCUGCGUAGCUCCAGCCGGCUGCUCCUCCUGGACACCCAACAACCAGACCCUCUGUCGAGCUCGAUUGAACCCCUCCAGUGACUCGGAGGAGGCUAGGAGGCUCGGGCUCCUGUCACACAGAGCCUGGCACUUUCCUGUAAGCAUCGACAGCAGCAGAACCCGAUCAUGGCUCAGUCUCUGAGCAGAAUUCUGAUGAUCCUGCCACCUCAAGUGGACUCUUCUAAAUUAGCCAGCUCUCUGUCCCCAGAGUACUUGGAGAGGCUGCCCUGCUCCACCUCACUUCUGAAAUGGAAAUAGAUCCUUGCUCCCUGGGGUAAGGUUGGUCUUUGAGCCUGGAGUUCAAAAUGGGGCCUCUCUACAUGCUCCUCAUGUUUGAGUGUCUACCACAGAGUGUCAGAAAGAUACCGAUGGGCCAGGGGAUUCCCAGCAUUGAAAUCCAGUCUCAGAGACUGAGUACCUCCCACAACAGCACUGACCACUCCCGCCCGCUUUUAAGCCAGGUCAUUCCACCCUGCAGCUCACUCCAACGUCUAGUAGCAAGCCACCCAAGCACUAGGGUAGGAGAUUGAUGAGGGCUCCUCCCAGCCUCCCUUUAAAACAAUUACAAUAACAGUCAAGACUGCUUCUCACACUCCCCUCUGCCUCUGGGCCCUGAACCCUGGGACUGCACACCGGUUUGGACACGUGCACACACACUCUCCAACUCCUCUCAGCUCCGGGUCCUUCCCUCCAGCCUUUGGCCCAGGGCUCACUCCUUAGUGCCCCACACACCUCAGAAGCAGGCCUAGUUCAUUGUCUCCAAGACAUUCUGCAAAGGCCUCACUACCCCUGAAGGUUUAAGGGGCUGGGGAAAGGCCAGGGAGAGGCCAGGAAGGGCUGGGGAG